CCUCAGCAGCUUGGUGACACUGCCCACAAGCAGCUCAACCGGCAAGACCUUCAUCUGCAACGUAGCCCACCCGGCCAGCAGCACCAAGGUGGACAAGCGUGUGGAACCACAUGGAGGAUGCACGUGUCCCCAAUGUCCAGACCCUGAGCUCCAGG